GGGUAUCUAUUUGACGGACGUGAAGCAGUUACUGUCUGCUUCUAAGGUUUCCGAUGCAGAUGCAAGAAAAAAGUGUCUUUGCUCUUUCUGUCUGAUUGUGGCAGCCAACAAUGAAUAGAGGAACCACAG
rnacentral:snoRNA from 1 species